GACGAACGCUGGCGGCGUGCUUAACACAUGCAAGUCGAACGACAAACCAGUGCUUGCCUUGGGUCAGAGCCGGGAACGGGUGAGUAACACAUGGGUAACGCGCCCCCUUGACUUUGACAACCCGUGAGGAACCGGGCGAUAACCGGAUGUGGCACCUCACAUCAGUGAGGGGGGGAAAGAAAGCUUCGGCCUCCGCGUCUGGAUCGGCCCGCGGCCGAUUAGCUUGUUGGGGAGGUAAAGGCCCACCAAGGCGGCGGUGGGUAGCUGGUCUGAGAGGACGGUCAGCCACCCUGGGACUGAGACACGGCCCAGACUCCUACGGGAGGGAGCAGUGGGGAAACUUGCGCAAUGGGCGAAAACGUGACGCAGCAACGCCGCGGGGGGGAAGACGGCCGUCGGGUUGUAAACCCCUUUCUGUUGGGACGAAGGUGGGGCGGUUUACAGCCGUGCCGGCGGACGGGAACUUAACAAGAAGGCACGGCCAACUUCGUG
rnacentral:rRNA from 1 species